GAGUCAAUCUUUUUCUCAAUCCGGGAUUUGAACUGGUGACUCGGGACACCAUAAAGUUAUCCCAAGUGGCGACUCUGAAAUUUAAAUAAAUAAAUCCCAUUUCGAUUGUCAUUUUAAGUUGGAAAAAACUCCCUUUUAUGCACCUUUACGGGGGUGUGGGAACAAAUGAAUGUGUGACAGGUAGAAUGGCCAAGGUUCCCCUCUACUCUAAUCGACGCAACCCCGAUAAGGCUAAGGUCACC
rnacentral:lncRNA from 1 species